rnacentral:tRNA from 1 species
GAAAAGUUAGUUAAUAAUAUAUUUAUAACAUAAAAUUGUCAAUUUUAAAUUACUAUUAUAGUAGUACUUUUCU